UACGUAGGGUGCGAGCGUUGUCCGGAAUUAUUGGGCGUAAAGAGCUCGUAGGCGGUUUGUCGCGUCUGCUGUGAAAACUCGGGGCUUAACUCCGGGCCUGCAGUGGGUACGGGCAGACUAGAGUGCGGUAGGGGAGACUGGAAUUCCUGGUGUAGCGGUGAAAUGCGUAGAUAUCGUAAGGAAGACCAGUGGCGAAGGCGGGUCUCUGGACAGUUCCUGACGCUGAGGCACGAAGGUCAGGGGAGCAAACGGG
rnacentral:rRNA from 1 species